rnacentral:rRNA from 1 species
UGGUGGAGUGAUUUGUCUGGUUAAUUCCGUUAACGAACGAGACCUCGACCUGCUAAAUAGUUCGACAAAGGAUUCUCUCCUUUGCAUCGCGACUUCUUAGAGGGACUAUCGGUGUGUAGCCGACGGAAGUUCGAGGCAAUAACA